GAUCCCGUAGCUCAGCAGGGAGAGCGCCACCUUGACAGGGUGGAGGUCGCCGGUUCGAGGCCAGUCGGGAUCA
rnacentral:tRNA from 1 species